AUUGAACGCUGGCGGCAUGCUUUACACAUGCAAGUCGGACGAGUGGCGAACGGGUGAGUAACGCAUCGGAACGUACCGAGCCAUGGGGGAUAACUGUCCGACAGGACAGCUAAUACCGCAUAUUAUUCGAGCGGCCGAUGUCUGAUUAGCUGGUUGGCGGGGUAAUGGCCCACCAAGGCGACGAUCGGUUGCGGGUCUGAGCGGAUGAUCCGCCACAAUGGUAGUGAGCCACGGCCCUGACUCCGGCGGGAGGCAGCAGUGGGGAAUGUUGGACACUUGGCGCAAGCCGUAUCCAACCAUGCCGCGUGUCUGAAGAAGGCCUUGGGGUUGUAAAGGACUUUUGUCAGUGAAGCGGUACCUGAAGAAUAAGCACCGGCUAACUACGUGCCAGCAGCCGCGGUAAUUC
rnacentral:rRNA from 1 species